rnacentral:tRNA from 1 species
GCGGUUGUUCUGGAUCUUGUUGAAUCGCCGUAGACACUGUUUCCCGCCCUCCGAAGGCAGGGGUUGCUGGUUCGAUCCCAGCCGGGCGCGCCA